AGACGUGUAGCCAAGUGGUAAGGCAACGGUUUUUGGUACCGUGUACCGUAGGUUCGAAUCCUACCACGUCUA
rnacentral:tRNA from 1 species